AGAGUUUGAUCAUGGCUCAGGAUGAACGCUAGCUACAGGCUUAACACAUGCAAGUCGAGGGGCAGCAUGAAGGAAGCUUGCUUCCUUUGAUGGCGACCGGCGCACGGGUGAGUAACGCGUAUCCAACCUGCCACAUACUCGGGGAUAGCCCGGUGAAAACCAAAUUAAGACCCGAUGGCAUCCUUUGAGGACAUCUGACGAGGAUUAAAGGCAACGGUAUGUGAUGGGGAUGCGUCCGAUUAGCUUGUUGGCGGGGUAACGGCCCACCAAGGCGACGAUCGGUAGGGGUUCUGAGAGGAAGGUCCCCCACAUUGGUACUGAGACACGGACCAAACUCCUACGGGAGGCAGCAGUGAGGAAUAUUGGUCAAUGGGCGGAAGCCUGAACCAGCCAAGUAGCGUGCAGGAUGACGGCCCUAUGGGUUGUAAACUGCUUUUGUCAGGGAACAAAGUGAGGCACGUGUGCCUUUUUGCGUGUACCUGUCGAAUAAGGACCGGCUAAUUCCGUGCCAGCAGCCGCGGUAAUACGGAAGGUCCGGGCGUUAUCCGGAUUUAUUGGGUUUAAAGGGAGCGUAGGCCGAAGGUUAAGCGUGUUGUGAAAUGUAGUCGCUCAACGUCUGCACUGCAGCGCGAACUGGCUUUCUUGAGUGCGCGGUAAGUUGGCGGAAUUCGUUGUGUAGCGGUGAAAUGCUUAGAUAUGACGAAGAACUCCGAUUGCGAAGGCAGCUGACUGUAGCGUAACUGACGCUGAUGCUCGAAAGCGUGGGUAUCGAACAGGAUUAGAUACCCUGGUAGUCCACGCGGUAAACGAUGGAUGCUCGCUGUGCGCCUUCUCUGGUGCGUGGCCAAGCGAAAGCGUUAAGCAUCCCACCUGGGGAGUACGCCGGCAACGGUGAAACUCAAAGGAAUUGACGGGGGCCCGCACAAGCGGAGGAACAUGUGGUUUAAUUCGAUGAUACGCGAGGAACCUUACCCGGGCUUGAACUGCACAGGAAUGAUUCAGAGAUGAUGAAGCCCUUCGGGGCCUGUGUGGAGGUGCUGCAUGGUUGUCGUCAGCUCGUGCCGUGAGGUGUCGGCUUAAGUGCCAUAACGAGCGCAACCCCUGCUUCCAGUUGCCAUCGGGUCAUGCCGGGCACUCUGGAGGGACUGCCGCCGUAAGGUGUGAGGAAGGCGGGGAUGACGUCAAAUCAGCACGGCCCUUACGUCCGGGGCUACACACGUGUUACAAUGGGGGGUACAGUGGGGUGCCACCGCGCGAGCGGGCGCCGAUCCUCAAACCCUCCCGUAGUUCGGAUUGGGGUCUGCAACCCGACCCCAUGAAGCUGGAUUCGCUAGUAAUCGCGCAUCAGCCAUGGCGCGGUGAAUACGUUCCCGGGCCUUGUACACACCGCCCGUCAAGCCAUGAAAGCCGGGAGUACCUGAAGUGCGUAACCGCGAGGAGCGCCCUAGGGCAAGACCGGUGAUUGGGGCUAAGUCGUAACAAGGUAGCC
rnacentral:rRNA from 1 species